AUAUAUAUAUAUAUAUAUAUAUAUAUCCUGUGUUAUAUACCGCCCGUACAGACAUAUUUACAUACAUCCCGUGUUAUAUACCGCCCGUACAGAUAUAGUUACAUGCAUCCCAUGUUAUAUACCGCCCGUACAGACAUAUUUACAUACAUCCCAUGUUAUAUACCGCCCGUACAGACAUAUUUACAUACAUCCCAUGUUAUAUACCGCCUGUACAGAUAUAGUUACAUGCAUCCCAUGUUAUAUACCGCCCGUACAGACAUAUUUACAUACAUCCCGUGUUAUAUACCGCCUGUACAGAUAUAUUUACAUGCAUCCCAUGUUAUAUACCGCCCGUACAGAUAUAGUUACAUGCAUCCCAUGUUAUAUACCGCCCGUACAGACAUAUUUACAUGCAUCCCAUGUUAUAUACCGCCCGUACAGACAUAUUUACAUGCAUCCCAUGUUAUAUACCGCCCGUACAGAUAUAGUUACAUGCAUCCCAUGUUAUAUACCGCCCGUACAGACAUAUUUACAUACAUCCCGUGUUAUAUACCGCCCGUACAGACAUAUUUACAUACAUCCCGUGUUUUAUACCACCCGUACAGACAUAUUUACAUACAUCCCGUGUUAUAUACCGCC